AUAGAGCUGUUAUUCAUGUUAUGUGCAUUUCUCAGUUGGAGAGGAUGUGGAAUGUUGUGAGAGGUGAUAUGCAUACAACUUAUUCCAUGAAAUGUUUUAAGUUGCUCAUAUUUCCUGAUGUUUGCAUGCUGGUACAUUAUUUUUUUUUGGUGAUAAAUGUGAAAUAUUACCAUGACAACCAAAUUGAUACACCUAAAGCUCA
rnacentral:lncRNA from 1 species